AAGUCGUAACAAGGUUUCCGUAGGUGAACCUGCGGAAGGAUCAUUAUUGAAUUUACAAGGGGGAGAAGGAAAAAAGGAGAAAGGACGGGAAGGGAAAGACUGUCGCUGGGGGUAGGAUUUCCCUGUGCACGUCAUGCCUCUUCUCUGUGUUUUUGAUCCUGUUCCUCUCUUUCCUUCACAUACACACACACCCUUGUGCACCUGUUGUAGGUCUUUGACAAGAAGAUCUAUGUUUCUUCACAUCACACCUUAUCGUAUGUCCAUAGAAUGUAUGGGAAAAUGAUAUACAACUUUCAGCAACGGAUCUCUUGGCUCUCGCAUCGAUGAAGAACGCAGCGAAUUGCGAUAAGUAAUGUGAAUUGCAGAUUUUCAGUGAAUCAUCGAAUCUUUGAACGCAUCUUGCGCUCCUUGGUAUUCCGAGGAGCAUGCCUGUUUGAGUGUCAUUAAAUUCUCAACCAUGUGUCUUGAUUGAUUUUCAUGGCUUGGAGGUUGGGGGUUGCUGGCGGCGAUCUGGCUGUUGGCUCUCCUGAAAUGCAUUAGCAAAAAGAAGGGGGGGUGUGAAUGUCUUUUUGGCAUGCACGGCCUUUGACGUGAUAAUGAUCGUCGUGGCUGGAGUGUCUGGAAAUCUAUCUCUCCCUCUCCCUCAUGCUUCUAAUAUUGUAUGCUAGUCAGUUUUCUGACUGGCUUCAUUGCGACUUGACCUCAAAUCAGGUAGGACUACCCGCUGAACUUAA
rnacentral:rRNA from 1 species